UACGUAGGCAGCGAGCGUUGUUCGGAGUUACUGGGCGUAAAGGGUGCGUAGGCGGUUCCGCAAGUCCUGUGUGAAAUCUUCGGGCUCAACUCGAAGUCUGCACGGGAAACUGCGGGGCUUGAGUGUGGGAGAGGUGAGUGGAAUUCCCGGUGUAGCGGUGAAAUGCGCAGAUAUCAGGAAGAACACCCGUGGCUAAGGCGGCUCUCUAGUACGUGACUGACGCUGAGACGCGAAAGCGUGGGUAGCAAACAGG
rnacentral:rRNA from 1 species